rnacentral:lncRNA from 1 species
GCGAGGCUUCGCUUCAUGGCUACCGAGGGGAACCCUCCCGAGGCCCUGGGGAAAACACUGACAGCAGCCGGUAUACGCAGGCCACUUCCAACCGCAGAGCAGGGGAUAUACAGACAUGCUCUGGGGGCACCAGAGAAGUGGCCCCAGCCUCUCAACCAGCCCCAGGCGACCCCUGGGUUUGAACCUGGGCUGGGAAUGCAAGGAGGGAGGAGCUGUCACCCAGCGGGUCUCAGACAUGUAAAUGCCCACGAGGCCUGAGACCCGGGUGAGGCGGGGGCAUGGGAGGGCAGCUCUGCCCUGGGCAGUGGCUUCCUCCUUCUGUUGGCAUAACCCCAACCCUUGGCAUGCGGUGGGGGAAGGGGGUCCCUUGUUCAUUCUUUCUCGACUCAACUUGGUUAUCCUCUCAAGACCCAGAAGUUCCCUGCCAUUUCUGGGUAGGGUUUAAGCUGGAUGGUGAGAUUUUGAGAACCUGUGAUCCUGUUUCCAGGGAUUUCAGGGUUUCACGCUGGUGGACGUUGGUGUUUCCGAGUCAUGUCCACCCCCGCACUUCACCUCUGUCCUCGGUGGGGAGCCUUCCUGCUUCCCUCGGCCCAGCCUGGCAACAAUGACGCUGCUCGCUACGCUUGUCCUGCGAGGUAGGGCUUGGCUGUCCAAAUCCACAGAUGCAGAGCCUGAGGCUUGGAUGGGCAGCCACCUGCCCAACAGGGAAAAGAUGCAGAAUGUGGACCACGCUCCCUGUACCCGGCAGGGUGCUCAGUGGUUACAAGACCAGUUGGAGCCCAGAGACUUCUGACAGCAGGCUGGUGGCCCACCCGUGUGGCAUGGAGUGAGCUGCAGGCUGUUCCUCCUGGUCACGCCUUGGGGUGGCAAAAGAUCUCAGCGCGGCUCCCGAGACUACCCUAUGGCCAGGCUCCGGCGGAUACCUAAUGCCCCUGGUGGGCACAUCUGCUGGCAGGUCUGGAGGAAAGUUGUGGAAGGUCUCACCAGUGACCAGAGAGGGUCGGGAGUCUUCACGGUC